CAUGUGCAGAAGGAUCCUGUUGUGGCGUCUGCUUUGCUGGCAGCAGGAUGAAGAAGAAGAUCAUACAUCUUGGACCUGCUUGUGUUACAGAAUGAGUUGAAGGACAGCCUAGAAUUUUAAGGUGACAUUGUUAAAUAUUAAAAAAAGAAGGAAGGAGAGGGCUGGACAUACAGCCAUGCUUAAAGUUGUUUCCAUGGUCACGGGAAGCUCGUGAGUUCUAUGGAGGAAUGUGCAGAAAUGAAGCAUCUUCAUCACCUCAGAAGUUUCUACUGCACAGUUGUGUCUAAAGCACAAGCACUCUAUGGGAUUUUCUUUUUGAGUGUUCACCGUAUGGGAGGAUUUGGA